rnacentral:misc_RNA from 1 species
GAAAUGCGAUAAGUAAUGUGAAUUGCAGAAUUCAGCGAAUCAUCGAAUCUUUGAACGCACAUUGCGCCCCCUGGUAUUCCGGGGGGCAUGCCUGUUCGAGCGUCAUUUCACCACUCAAGCCUCGCUUGGUAUUGGGCGACGCGGUCCGCCGCGCGCCUCAAAUCGACCGGCUGGGUCUUUCGUCCCCUCAGCGUUGUGGAAACUAUUCGCUAAAGGGUGCCGCGGGAGGCCACGCCGUAAAACAACCCCAUUUCUAAGGUUGACCUCGGAUCAGGUAGGGAUACCCGCUGAACUUAAGC